GCGGCUGGUGUCAGCUGGUAGAGCAUCACGUUGCCAACGUGAAUGUUACGACUUAUGUUGAUGAGAGUAGUCUCGUUAGCCGCUCCA
rnacentral:tRNA from 1 species